UACGUAGGGUGCGAGCGUUGUCCGGAAUUAUUGGGCGUAAAGAGCUCGUAGGCGGUCUGUCGCGUCGAUUGUGAAAACUUGGGGCUUAACCCUGAGCUUGCGGUCGAUACGGGCAUGACUGGAGUUCGGCAGGGGAGACUGGAAUUCCUGGUGUAGCGGUGAAAUGCGUAGAGAUCGGGAGGAACACCCGUGGCGAAGGCGGCUCACUGGGCCGGUCCUGACGCUGAGGUGCGAAAGCGUGGGGAGCAAACAGG
rnacentral:rRNA from 1 species